UACGGAGGAUGCAAGCGUUAUCCGGAAUGAUUGGGCGUAAAGCGUCCGCAGGUGGCUAUGUAAGUCUGCUGUUAAAGAGUCUAGCUCAACUAGAUAAGUGCAGUGGAAACUACAAGGCUAGAGUACGUUCGGGGCAGAGGGAAUUCCUGGUGUAGCGGUGAAAUGCGUAGAGAUCAGGAAGAACACCGGUGGCGAAAGCGCUCUGCUGGACCUUAACUGACACUGAGGGACGAAAGCUAGGGGAGCGAAUGGG
rnacentral:rRNA from 1 species